UAUACCGCAACAUUGACUGGCCUACCCCGUCAUCACUGCCGGUCAAUAUUCCGGGACCGGUUGGUCCUCAUCCGCCGGCGGAGCCAGAACCCAUUCUCCAUUUUCAUCCCGCACCAUCCCUUUGUUCUUCUCAACCCACCACAACGCCGGCACCGAACACUCCGUCUUGAGAAAAUCACACGACUUGUUCACCAAAGCCACACUCCUCUUUACCUUGAGCUCGAACUCACCCUUCUCUCCGUUCCACCCCGCCACUAUAUGCAGCAUCGCCUGCAAGUUGUGCCAGUCCCCAGCGUCCUUCGAGUCCUUCAAAUACGGCGACUUCCUCGUGUCGAUCAACACUUCAGUCCCUAUAUAACGAUACCCCAGAACCCGUCCCGGGUAGUGUGGAAUCAAAUCGAUCUUGUUCCUUAUGUGCAUAAUCUUCAGAUUCGGGUGCUGGCCUAUCCUGGUCUUGAAGGCCUUGUUCCCGACUUGCGGACACCCGAAGACGAAAGCCGCCACCGGAAUAUCCGAGAUUCCGUUCUCCACCAAGUCAAAACCGCUGACUACUGCCAGGCUCGCACCGAGACUGUGCCCGGUCAGCGCUAUGCUCAGCUUCUCACCUUUGUACUUCUCCCUCAGCUCGUUGAUUUUGGUCAGCAGCUGAACUCUGGCGCUGGAUUUGGUGAAGGCCGAUUUCGGGUCGUCGGAGAUGUACAUGGACAGCCAGCCUCUCAUGACUUUGGGAACCUUAGCAUUUUCAUCAUCUUCUUCCUCGUCACUGCUACUAGUGCCACCAUCACCAUCACCACUACUGUGUUUGAGCUCAUUGUUUACUGUGUUCGGUUUGAGCAGCGGCGCCGCGGAUUCAAGCUCGGCGCCCAGCACAUUAACCCACUCGUAGUUACGGGUGGUGCCGCGCCAGGCGACGUAGAUUUCGCGGCGGCCGAUGGACUUGCUGUAGUCGUCGGUGGUGACGGCGAUGUAGCCGAUCCAGUUGGACUCGCGGUCCCAUGACUCGCGGGACAAGGAGUGGAGGAGGAAGCCCUCCGGGACGCUGACGAGUGCGGUGGCGUAGAGGAAGGAGGCGAUUUCGUAGUUGGCGGCGUCUUGGAGCAUCACUUUGUCGAAGAAGGAGGCUUUGCCGUAGCGGCUGGACCCGGCGUACUUGGAGUUGGCGUCGUUGUUGAAGGCGUCGUAGGUCCCCUGGCAGAAGUCGCCGCACCGGAGGAUCAGGGUUCGGAGGUGAAGGUCCAGCGGGUCCAGGAGGCCGGCCCAGUUGUUCUCGCCGAGGAGAGCUGACC
rnacentral:lncRNA from 1 species